UCAUUAUCAACAUCACUUAUCUUCCUCCUCUUCUCAUCAUCACUACUCUAUUUAAGAUGAUAGUUGAUCAUCACAAACCAUCGAUCAUUUCAAAUUAAGUUCAUUUCGUUUUUUUCUUCAUCUUCCUUUGCUCAGUUUCGCUCUCUAACCACAUUCAUCUUUAUCCUCCCUCUCUGGAUCAUCAUUAUCAACAUAAUCAUCAUCAUCAUCAUCUACUCUUCAUCAUUUUAAUCAUCAGUAUCUACAAUAACUUACACAUUGGAUACACUUUAAGUGAUCAGAAUCACAGAUUGAGAGACAUUUUACCAGCCAUUUGUACACCUUUUAAGCUACCCUGGAAAACAUCUUUUACCUUUGAGGAUUGGACAUUUCAAAAUGGGAAUCACGAAUUUACUCAACACUCUUGAUUCGUCCCCAUAACAGUUGCUUUAGCCAUUUUGGUUUUUACUUGAUCAUCUUCUUGAUCAUCGCCUUUCGUCUAAUCAAAAUGUAGGAUACAACUUGACCAGAUGAGAGGACAAAAGUGGAUCAAGUCAUUUUUCUUGACCAUUUCAUCUUUAACCAUUACCAUUGAUUAACCAUACAAUUCAUAUUUGGCAGGGAAAAUCAGUGACAAUUUCAAUUCUCUCAAAUUAUCACAUUUACUAAUAAGCCUUUUAUUUAGUUGAAUGUGGACAACUUUAAAUGACAAUUGUUGCCAAUUGUUUGCAAUUUGGUGUACAAAAUGAAUCACACAAAAUGAUUAUUUGAUCAACAUAAACAACACUUUACCCUCCUUCAUUCAAUAUUAUUUGACCAAAUUUAAGGCAUCUCAAGUCUUUGUUUGAACAUCAGAAAUGAUGAGACAAUUCAAUCAAAUCUCAAUUGAUUACAAAUAAUAUUUUAAGCAAAUAACAAUCAAACCUUUGAUUUACAAUCAAAAUGGCUCAUUUUGAUGACAACCUCUCACUAUAAACCUCCAUGAGAUACUUAUACCAUUAAUCUGAAAUUAAGUUGCUUUUAAAUUGUUGAAUAAAGAGAUUUUAUUAUUAAAAGAAUGUAUCAAUUUUUGUGUAAAAAUUUUGGUCAAGAAAAGGAUUCUAAGGAAAAUUUUGCCUGAAAGUCAUGAUUGAAAUACAAUGAACUAUUGACUUAAUAUUGAAGAAUCAAUCGGUUCGUAAUCAGUGAACAACCCCUUAAAUAAUUUGCGGGAAAAUGUUGUUUCUCACUUGGCUACUUUUUUAUAAACUGUGAUACAUUUUCCUAAUACAAUCUAUGCUAAUUUUAACCAUAAUAUUGUGUUUUUAAUCGUAUAAUACAAUCAACUGAACGGAAAUAAAUUUCAACCUUAACUGUGAUCAUAAAAAGUGUGAAUUUUUGGGCUCUUUAUUCAGCAAUUCAUUCAAUUCCAUUGGGCCAUCAUCUAGUAAUGUGUUUAUAAUUAAUAAAGGAGGAGACUUGAGGAUAUCCUGUUAUUAAUGAGGAUCACCAAACAGGCCCAAUUGUUGCUGUUUCCGGCUAAACCAAUAACUUUAUAUUAUUAUCAUCAUCAUUAUCAUGUUUACCGAUAUCUUCCAGAUAAUUACAAACAUUGCCAUUAUUUUUUACCUUUUCUUGUCUCAAUCUCUAAACCCAUGAAAAAAACGGAAAAAGCAACUUAUUCAUAAUGGUAUAACUGAUACCUAAAUUUUGGUUCUUCUAUUAAUGAAUAAUCAACGAUCCGUAAAAGCUCGCAAUUUAUUAUUAACUGUCAGGUGAUUUGCUUAUAAACAUUGGAUCACUUUGUUUGCUCUUUGGAUUAACGUGUUAUUGAAUUGUAAUAUUUUGUUUGUCUAAAAACAUUUUCGGUUCUAUUGGAUUUACCGCCGAGGUGAUGCUGUUAACGAAAUUAAGUGAUUGAUUAGAUUAAUUCAUGAUUGUGGCAAUAUUUUCCAGCUACACAUGAGGAGUGAGAUGAAAAAAUAUGAUCAGUCUUGUACCGAUAAUGUUUAAUCUGGUUCAACUUUGAAUAAUUGUAUUACAAGAGACUAAAGUUAGACUUGACAGUUAAUCAAUCAUAACUAGCAUCUUCACAAUUGUCUGUAAAUUGUCAUUGGAACAGAAAGUAUUUCAGACGCUAUUCAAUCUACUGAGGGAAAAUGUUUCCUUCAAUAUUAAGCGAGUCAACUCGGGAAAAAUCCUGUCCAAUUGAUUAACCUUUUAAUAUAUUCAAUUGCGGAUGGACUGGUUCUCUUUAACUGCAAAACAAGCUCAACUUAACAUUCUCGAUGAAAAGGUUGGUUCUUUCAGGGAAACGAUAAUUCUUUCUUCCAUUUAAUCAAUUCAGCGAUGAUUACGAUGACGAUAGCAAUGGUGUUUACAAUUAUCGUUUUUAUAAGAGUUUAAGGUCAAAACGAAAAAUGAACUUUCUUCUUUGGUCACGUCCAUUGUUACUGGCCAUCACUCAACAUUAUCAAGAAAAAAUCAAUGACAGAUACAAAUCAAUUUAAAUGAUCUUUAAUUUUGAAAAUAGCAAAUCUUCCAUUGUUGGUGCAAUUUAUUUUGGUAAUUUGGCGUGAAAAUUUUUACGUUUUUACAUUCGUUACACAAUUAAAUUAACAUAUUGUAAUUUUAAAGAUAGCGUAUUGAGUCUACAAAUCCAAUUGUUUAUUGUGGUUAUGAUUUGCGCUUAUUUUAACUCAUCUUUUUUCCAGCGUUGUUGGCUGUUGUUUCAUCUUAAUCACACUAACGAAUCGUGCUAAUCAUAAUUAGCAUCUUAUUCAUAUUGUGUAUUGUUUGGAUGUUGAGGUUAACCUAGAAUUGCUGAAGCACGAAUCCACCCCAAAAAAUGAACCUUUAAGAUGAAGAUCUUGAAGACUGUGAAAAAGUAAAGCAAGAUGCUAAAUCAA